rnacentral:lncRNA from 1 species
CGACCCCCUCGGCCAUGUGGGGACUACAAGUCCCAGGAGACAGCGUUCCCUGCUGAGCCCUGCCGCCGCCGCAGCUGGGGGAGCGGUGCAUGUCGGGAGCUGUAGUCUCGGAGAGGCGGCUGCACGUGUGCUGCUGUCGGUGAGGGCACCCCUGGCGUGGCAGCGCGCCCCUCUCCGCGGGGUCUGACCGUCCCGUCCCGAUGGGCACGCGCCGGGCUGUGCAACACGGGCCUUGCCCAGCCAGGGGCUCCGGAAACGAUCUCCGCGGAGUCUAUGGUUGGAGGGGCUGGGCCUGAGGCGUGCACAAUGCUGCUGAGCUAGAAAGCUUGUGGCUUCCCAGUCUCUGCGCUGGUCACAUGGAAGCGCUCAUGCUAUGGAAAGUGGAAUUAGUGGGUAAGCUAAAAACCAGACUAGUUCUGGGCUGAAAUGUCUGUUCUUCUCCACACCCCAACCCUGCU